rnacentral:sRNA from 1 species
GCCAGGUAUGAUGGUGCAUGUCUGUGAUCCCAGUGACUUGGGAGGCUGAGGCAGGAGGAUCACUGCAAGUUCAAAGCCAGCAUUAGCAAAUUAGAGAGGCUCUAAGUAACUUAGUGAGAUCCUGUUUCUA